rnacentral:piRNA from 1 species
ACAAAGGACUUGAAUGUCUUGCAGGUGUU